CCGCCCAGCGCUACGCGAGGGGAGGCGGAGCUUCGGGAGACGCCAGCUCCCGGUGUGACCCUCUGACGACGCUACCCAUGGCUGACUCGGCUGGGCCGCGCUCCGCCCGCCUCAAGGCCCGGACUCCCCGCGCUUCUCGAAACGCCACAGGUGCUAAACAGACAAAUGCCUUAAAACAAGAAGAUACUUCUAAAAGGAAAGCAGAACUAGAAGCAGCUGUGAGAAAGAAGAUUGAAUUUGAGAGAAAAGCUCUACAUAUUGUUGAACAACUUUUAGAAGAGGAUAUUACAGAAGAAUUCCUAAGGGAGUGUGGGAAGUUCAUCACACCUGCUCACUACAGCGAUGUCGUGGAUGAGCGUUCUAUUAUCAAGCUCUGCGGUUAUCCUUUAUGUCAGAAAAAACUAGGAAUUGUACCAAAACAGAAGUAUAAGAUUUCUACCAAAACCAAUAAAGUCUAUGAUAUUACUGAAAGAAAGUGUUUUUGCAGCAAUUUUUGUUACAAAGCAUCUAAGUUUUUUGAAGCACAAAUUCCUAAAACUCCAGUAUGGGUUCGAGAAGAGGAAAGGGAUCCUGAUUUUCAACUGCUACAGGAAGGACAAAGUGGCCAUUCUGGAAAGGAAGUACAGCUAUACACUAAGGCCAUUAAAACAUCAGAUAUUGACAAUCCUGGCCAUUUUGAGAAGCAUUAUGAAUCUAGUUCUUCUAGCACUCAUAGUGACAGUAACAGUGACAAUGAGCAAGACUUUGUUUCCUCCAUUCUACCAGGAAACAGACUGGUAGAUGCAAUGGGUGUAAGUCCAAAGCUGCACAAAAAAAGCAUAAUGAAAAAGAAAGCCGGCCAUAAAGCUAACUCCAAGCAUGAAGACAAAGAACAGACAGUAAUAGAUGUCUCUGAGCAGCUAGGCAAUUGCACAUUAGAUAGUCAGGAGAAAGCUGCUGCUUGUGAACUUCCUUCACAGAAAGUAAGUACUCAGAUUUCUCCAAAUAGUCCUUUGCAAGAAAAAGUAGAAGCUUCAGAAAAUUCUGGAAAUAAAUACAGUAGUUCAAAAGUAACUCUAGUAGGCAUAAGUAAGAAAAGUGCUGAGCAUUUUAAGAGAAAGUUUGCCAAAUCAAACCAGGUUUCUAGAUCAGCCUCUAAUUCAGUGCAGAUGUGCCCUGAAGUUGCAAAGGCAAACUUACUUAAAGUCCUGAAGGAGACUUUGAUUGAGUGGAAGACAGAAGAAACUUUGAGGUUUUUGUAUGGCCAGAAUUAUGCUUCUUUGUGUCUGAAACUCUCUUCAGCCCCUCUGGUUAAAGAAGAAGAACUUGAUGAAGAUGACAUAGACUGUGACCUAGACAGACAUUCUCCUUCCCUGCAGGGAUCUCAGAAUAGCUUGGAUGAGUCUUUACCUUUUAGGACUUCAGAUACAGCCAGUAAACCACUACCAAGUUAUGAGAAUUUGAAAAAAGAAACUGAAACCUUAAAUCUAAGGAUAAGGGAGUUUUAUAGAGGACGAUAUGUUUUGAAUGAAGAAACUACCAAAUCACAAGACUCAGAAGAGCAAGAUCCCACCUUUCCGCUGAUAGAUUCAAGUUCUCAGAACCAGAUUAGAAAACGCAUCGUACUUGAAAAGUUGAGUAAAAUAGUGCCUGGACUUUUGGGGCCUCUUCAGAUCACAUUAGGAGAUAUUUAUGCACAGCUUAAAAAUCUCGUUCGAACUUUCAGGUUAACAAAUAGAAAUAUUAUACACAAACCUGCAGAGUGGACCUUAAUUGCUGUGGUGUUGUUGUCAUUACUGACCCCGAUUCUUGGCAUUCAGAAGCAUUCUCAGGAAAACGUGGUGUUCACACAGUUUAUAGAGACUCUGCUUAAAGAAUUACAUUUAAAGAAUGAAGACCUUGAAAGCUUAACUCUCAUAUUUAAAACCAGCUGUUAACCAGAGUGUGAGCAAGAUGGAAGCUACAGCUUUUUUGUAACUAAUCUCAGAAAGUGACAUCCUAUCAGUGUAGUCAAAUGUACACUGUACAUCAAAUCAGUGUAGUCCACUGUCUUGGUAUAAUCCAUGAAGACCAAAUAGAAGAUGAACUUCUAUUCAUCAUUUCUGGAAUUCUAGCUACAAUAGUGAUCUGGUGGUGACUGAUAACUAGCUUUGUUCCAAGAAAGACCUUUAUCUUCUUAGAUUUCAGCCUCCUGCUUCCCAGUUCCUAACUGUACAGUGACUUCCCCCACAUAGAGGAGAACCAUUAUUCCAACAAGGAUAACUAAGUACUUGUAUCCCUAACUAGAAGACAUAGUAUUUUUAUUUGUUUGAAAAUGAAAAAUGAGGUUUUAAGUUGAAACUUUAAUAAAUCUUAGUGACCUUAUUUUUUUCUGGAUGAUUCUAGCCAUUGUAUCAGUUCACAAAACAAUUGAGAAAAUUCUCAUUUUGGCCUCCUGGUCUAAACUCUAGAUUUUAAGAAUAAUAAAGAGGUCAAUAAAUGCAAUCUAAGAUGAA